UAAUUCAGCAACAUUAAUUCUAGUGUCAAAUGUCUUGAAAUUCUUUCAGCACAUGAACUAUUGUGUGAUGCAAAAACAAUGUGUGUUUACUACAAUGUGUAAAUCAACAAUAAGUUUGUUGCAAAGAAGAUUCAAAGUGGGUGGUUAAAGUGAAUGCUGAAGAACAGCUGUAACAGGUUAAACCCCAAGGUGAAAUUUACAUUGAUCGGAAGAUCCAUUGGACAGAAUGUGCAUCAUCGCCUGCCAAAAAAGGGAGCAAAAAGGGGACUACCUGAUGUAUGGACAUGUAUACCAGGCCAACUUGAGGGGAACAGGAGUGGGAAACCGUGCCCUGUAGCUUGUCCUUGACCAAGAAAAGAUGGAUUUGUUGAGAGGACCUGAUCUCAAAUGAGAUCAUGCACGAGAAGCGCCUCGCAGACCAUGACAGUAGUAUUCAGACCUGAUCAGCUGGUGAAGUGCUCUAUAAAGGGUUGUUUAUGAAUGCAUUCUUUGUAAGGAACAGUGUAUAACAACAAAUAUAGUGACAGGGGCUAAGCUGCUAAAUAUUGUCAGAAUGUAUGCAGUGAUUUUCUUUGGAAAUUUAAAACAACCUGUACGUACUGGCUCUCAGAAGGGCAUGUUUUAGCGCAAUAAUGAACAAAAAAAGGAAGAUCUUAAAAAUAAGGUAUAGAUUUAUAUAAAUUUCAUGAAUACUGUUCAUUUAUCAUAUAUUAGGAUCCAGAAUAUGAUUGAAUUGAAUGUGAUGCUUUUAUCCAUAUUAAAAAGGGAUUUGGAAUUAAUGUAAUACAUAAAAAUCUAGUAAAUGAUAGGGAAAACAUUUCAGCUUAAGGAGGGGAAAUCUUUAAUAUUUUUGAAGCGGAAACCACCUGUAUUUGGCUGUUAAUCAGUUACCGAUAAUCAGAGGGGAGAAAAAUCACUGGUAUUAGCUUGAUAUUUUCAAUUGUUAAUUCCAGAUAGGCAAUAGCCCGUUUGAAUCCUCUCUUUUAUGUAGAUAUGUAACAUUUGUUUUUGUUUUUUAAGGUUUAACAUUCUAAUAAAAGUGUGUAUUUAUCUAUUGAAUUGUACUUUUUGUUUUUUAUGUAUGUGUUUACACUAACCUUUCAUUUAAAGAAUGAAUGCUGACUUCAAAAUGCUGGGACUUUUUUAAUUUGGUUAAUUUUUAAGCAUAUUAAUUUGAAGUGAUGAAAAGUACACUUGAGCGUAUAAUGCGCUUAAAAAAUUCACUUCCAACACUUCAAAAAGUGAAUCAUUUGUAUGACUGAAAAUGCACUCAAGUGUAUAAAUGCGCUUAAAAAUUUACUUUUAAUAUUGUAAAGUGUAUUAUUUGUAUGACCGGGAAUGCACUCAAGUGUAUUAAUGCGCUUAAAAAAAUUCACUUUCAAUUUUGUAAGGUGUAUUAUUUGUAUCAGUGGAAAUGCACUCAAGUGUAUUAAUGCGCUUACAAAAAUUCACUUUGAAUACUCAAUGAAGUGUAUUAUUUGUAUGACUGGAAAUGCACUCAAGUGUAUUAAUGCGCUUAAAUAAUUUGCUUUUAAUUCUGUAAUGUGUAUUAUUUGAAUGACUGGAAAUGCACUCAAGUGUAUUAAUGCGCUUUAAAAAAUUUACUUUGACCAUGAAGUGUAUUAUUUGUAUGUCUUAAAAUACACUCAAGUGUAUAAAUGCACUUAAAAAUAAACUUAAGCGCACUUAUUAUCAUAAUAAACGCACUUAAGUGUAUUAUUUCGUGGAAAAAAAAUACACUUAAAUGUAUAAACACA